rnacentral:rRNA from 1 species
CGGCGGAUGGGUGAGUAUCACGUGGGCAACCUGCCUGUAAGAUCGGGAUAACUCGCGGAAACGUGAGCUAAUACCGGAUGAAGUCUUACGCCACCUGGCGUAAGGAUGAAAGAUGGCCUUUGUGCUAUCACUUACAGAUGGGCCCGCGGCGCAUUAGCUAGUUGGUGGGGUAAUGGCCUACCAAGGCGACGAUGCGUAGCCGACCUGAGAGGGUGAUCGGCCACACUGGGACUGAGACACGGCCCAGACUCCUACGGGAGGCAGCAGUAGGGAAUCUUCCGCAAUGGACGAAAGUCUGACGGAGCAACGCCGCGUGAGUGAUGAAGGUCUUCGGAUCGUAAAACUCUGUUGUCAGGGAAGAACAAGUGACGUUCGAAUAGGGCGUGACCUUGACGGUACCUGACCAGAAAGCCCCGGCUAACUACGUGCCAGCAGCCGCGGUAAUACGUAGGGGGCAAGCGUUGUCCGGAAUUAUUGGGCGUAAA